rnacentral:rRNA from 1 species
GACGAACGCUGGCGGCGUGCUUAACACAUGCAAGUCGAACGGAAAGGCCCUGCUUUUGUGGGGUGCUCGAGUGUCGAUCGGGUACGUAACACUUGAGUAACCUGCCCUUGACUUUGGGAUAACUUCAGGAAACUGGGGCUAAUACCGGAUAGGAGCUCCUGCUGCAUGGUGGGGGUUGGAAAGUUUCGGCGGUUGGGGCUGGACUCGGGGCUUAUCAGCUUGUUGGUGUGGUAGUGGCUUACCAAGGCUUUGACGGGUCGCCGGACUGAGAGGGUGACCGGCCACAUUGGGACAGGGAUGGGGCCCAGAGUCCUACGGGAGGAAGCGGUGGGGAAUAGUGCACGAUGGGCGGAAGCCGGAUGCAGCAACGCCGCGUGCGGGAUGACGGCCUUCGGGGUGUAAACCGCAUUCGCCGGUGACGAAGCGGGAGUGACGGUAAUGGGUAAAGAAGCAACGGCUAACUACGUG